AAAAAUUCUAAAUGAUUUUGUAGCACAAGCAUAAACUUUAUUAGAUUUCCAUACUGCUCGUAUGUCUCACUUUAUUUACAAUAAAGAGAUGAUAUUUCUCACCUUUGCAUAAUGUUCACAAUCACCAUUGCAUAUUGGCUUGCACAUUGCCUUAUACCUGAUUCUUUCCCAAAAGCUCUUGCUCCUUUUAGAUGAUUUAGAACUUUUUUUGAUUAGUAGUGAGCAGGCUAAUUGUCCAGCAUCUCGACUAUCCCACUGAAUACUUAUAAUUUUGUGCACCAAGACUUAGGCAUAUAGAAAAAAAUCGCCUAUCAGAUAGUCUAGUACUUACCAUGUCAAUGUACUAGUUUAGUACUUACCAUGUCAAUGUACUCUUACAUAUAUACUUCAAUUAGCCAAUUGCAAGACUAAUUGACCUAUGCUUUCUCCGGCACACUAGAGCUAUAUUGAUCGGAUUCUCUGAAAAAAUUUUCAGAUACGUAUCAGAUUCCUCAAAACAGUGUAAUUUUAGAAGAUCCGACAUGGAUGCAUAAGUAAUUUGGCAAAUUCAAGCAACAUAGGACGUGACACAAUAAUCUUACAGGAGUUCACAAAAUGGAGCUCAUAUAUGUACUAUAAAUCCAGUAUCUUCCUUGAGAUUGUAUGGAAAGUGGAGAGAGAGUCAUCUCAUUUAGGCAGUGGAUGCUAAAAGAAAAUCUCUGGAUUUAUGCCCUCUUUCCAUGCAAGAGUUCCUUAUGUCUCUUUAAGC
rnacentral:lncRNA from 1 species